GGGCACGUGAAACCCGGUCUGAACAGGGGGGGGACCAUCCUCCAAGGCUAAAUACUCGUGGUCGACCGAUAGUGAACCAGUACCGUGAGGGAAAGGCGAAAAGAACCCCGGCGAGGGGAGUGAAAUAGACCCUGAAACCGUAUGCGUACAAGCAGUCGGAGCGCGCAAGCGUGACGGCGUACCUUUUGUAUAAUGGGUCAGCGACUUACUUUCAGUGGCGAGCUUAACCGAAUAGGGAAGGCGUAGGGAAACCGAGUCUGAACAGGGCGACAGUCGCUGGGAGUAGACCCGAAACCGGGCGAUCUAUCCAUGGCCAGGCUGAAGGUGGGGUAACACCUACUGGAGGGCCGAACCUACGUCUGUUGAAAAAGACGAGGAUGAGCUGUGGAUCGGAGUGAAAGGCUAAUCAAGCUCGGAGAUCGCUGGUUCUCCCCGAAAGCUAUUGAGGUAGCGCCUCGUGUCUCACUCCUGGGGGUAGAGCACUGUUACGGCUAGGGGGCCAUCCCGGCUUACCAACCCGUUGCAAACUCCGAAUACCAGGAAGUGCAAUC
rnacentral:rRNA from 1 species